rnacentral:rRNA from 1 species
GCCACACUGGAACUGAGACACGGUCCAGACUCCUACGGGAGGCAGCAGUGGGGAAUAUUGCGCAAUGGGCGAAAGCCUGACGCAGCGACGCCGCGUGAGUGAUGAAGGCCUUCGGGUCGUAAAGCUCUGUCGGACGGGAACGAAAACACGAAGGGAACAAUACCCCUUCGCUCUGACGGUACCUCCUUAGCAAGCACCGGCUAACUACGUGCCAGCAGCCGCGGUAAAACGUAGGGUGCAAACGUUGUUCGGAAUUACUGGGCGUAAAGCGCGCGUAGGCGGGUCUGUAAGUCGGAUGUGAAAGCCCUCGGCUCAACUGAGGAAGUGCAUUCGAAACUGCAAGCCUAGAGUACGGGAGAGGAGAGUGGAAUUCCCGGUGUAGAGGUGAAAUUCGUAGAUAUCGGGAGGAACACCAGCGGCGAAGGCGGCUCUCUGGACCGAUACUGACGCUGAGGCGCGAAAGCGUGGGGAGCAAACAGGAUUAGAUACCCUGGUAGUCCACGCUGUAAACGAUGGGCACUAGAUGUCGCGGGUUUUGAUGCCUGCGGUGUCGCAGCUAACGCGAUAAGUGCCCCGCCUGGGGACUACGGCCGCAAGGCUAAAACUCAAAGGAAUUGACGGGGGCCCGCACAAGCGGUGGAGCAUGUGGUUUAAUUCGACGCAACGCGCAGAACCUUACCCGGGCUAGAAACCAUUCGAACCUGGUAGAAACACCAGGGUGCCCUUUCGGGGGAGCGGAUGUCCAGGUGCUGCAUGGCUGUCGUCAGCUCGUGUCGAGAUGUUGGGUUAAGUCCCGCAACGAGCGCAACCCUUGCCAUUAGUUGCCAUCGGGUCAUGCCGGGCACUCUAGUGGGACUGCCCCGGUUAACGGGGAGGAAGGUGGGGAUGACGUCAAGUCCUCAUGGCCCUUAUGUCCGGGGCUACACACGUGCUACAAUGGUCGGUACAAUGGGCUGCCAACCCGCGAGGGGGAGCUAAUCCCAAAAAAAACCGGCCCCAGUACGGAUAGGAGUCUGCAACUCGACUCCUUGAAGGCGGAAUCGCUAGUAAUCGCUGAUCAGCAGGCAGCGGUGAAUACGUUCCCGGGCCUUGUACACACCGCCCGUCACACCAUGGAAGUCGGUUGCUGCAGAAGUGGCUGAGCUGACCCACAAGGGGAGCAGGUCCCGAAGUAUUAAUGACUGGGGUGAAGUCGGAACAAGGUA